UAUGUCUGUGAGAUAAGGCAUUACAGAAGCGAAAUUGACAUUGGAAGAUGAAAAUUGCAGUUUUUUUCUGUGCUCUGUGUUAUUUAGUGCUGGUCUCAAGUGAAUCGUGUUCAAGUGGAACUAGUAAGGACUGCCUACAUACAAAAUGUCCUGAGUUAAACUAUAAAUUAUCGUGCAUUGAUAAUUUUUGCACGUGUGCUGAGAUUGGACCUGCUGUUUGCAAAAAUAGAGAUACAUGUUUACAACAUAGUCCAUGGAACUGUCCACAGAAUCGCCGCCAUUGUUAUGAUAAUGUGUGUGUCUGUGCACCUACCAUAUAAAGCAGGAUACCAAUAAAAGGCUUACCAUUG